rnacentral:rRNA from 1 species
GACAGAGGGUGCAAACGUUGUUCGGAAUUACUGGGCGUAAAGCGAGUGUAGGCGGUUUGGUAAGUCGGGUGUGAAAUCCCCAGGCUUAACCUGGGAACUGCAUCCGAGACUGCAUUGCUAGAGUAUGGGAGAGGGAAGUGGAAUUUCAGGUGUAGCGGUGAAAUGCGUAGAUAUCUGAAGGAACAUCAGUGGCGAAAGCGACUUCCUGGACCAAUACUGACGCUCAUGUGCGAAAGCGUGGGGAGCAAACAGG